rnacentral:rRNA from 1 species
CAGCCGCCGCGGGAAUACGUAGGAGGCAAGCGUUGUCCGGAAUUAUUGGGCGUAAAGCGCGCGCAGGCGGUUUUUUAAGUCUGAUGUGAAAGCCCACGGCUCAACCGUGGAGGGUCAUUGGAAACUGGAAAACUUGAGUGCAGAAGAGGAAAGUGGAAUUCCAUGUGUAGCGGUGAAAUGCGUAGAGAUGUGGAGGAACACCAGUGGCGAAGGCGACUCCCUGGUCUGUAACUGACGCUGAGGAGCGAAAGCGUGGGGAGCGAACAGGAUUAGAUACCCGAGUAGUCCCUGUCUCUUAUAC